CCUCUCAUCUCAUUUGCAUGCCCCCCUCCCAUUCCUCCCCGCAUCCUCCUCCCGCCUCUCAUCUCUUUUCUCCCCUCUCUCAACCCACAAGGAAUAGUAAACACCACCCCCACAACAUAUAAACACCUCUCAUGGCAGUUGAAGCCCACCACCUUCACCUCUUCCCCUCCCAGCUCCUUAGAAACAGGGAAAUCGUUAACGCCGUGGAGAACCCAUCCAGCAAUAUCUACAACACCCAAAUGAGCUUCGUCGCGCCCGUCUCCGGCACCACCGGUUCCUUCAUCCCGUUGUACAAUCCCACCACCCCCGCCGCCGCCUCCGAGAGCGGUCUCACCUUCAACAACCUUGGUGCCGCCGCCGCCGCCGUGUCGCUUCCUAAGAAGAGAUUGCGCGACUCCGACCGCCCGCUUUCCUUCCUCGGCGAAGACGUCUCCUCUCACAUCCAGCAGCAGAUGCUCGACGUCGAUCGACUCAUCGUCUAUCACGUGGAGAAGGUGAGAGUCGAGCUGAUGGAGCGGCGAAAGCGCUUCGCGCGGCAGAUCCUGGCUGCGAUCGAGGAGAGAGUAGCGAAGCGUCUGAAGGCUAAGGAAGAGGAGAUCGAGAGGAUGGGCAAGCUCAACUGGGCGUUGGAGGAGCGCAUCAAGAGCCUGUGCGUGGAGAACCAGAUAUGGAGGGAUUUGGCUCAGACCAACGAGGCCACGGCGAAUGUUCUCCGGACCAACUUAGAGCAAGUCCUGGCAGCCCAGGUGAAGAAGGAGGAGGGGCAGCGGGGCGAGGCCUUCGCCGCCGGCGCCGCCGGCACCGAUGUCGAGGACGCCGAGUCAUGCUGCUGCGGCGAGAACCAGGAAGAGGAGAGGGAGACGACCGUGAAUGGAUGGAAGAAGAGGGUCUGCCGGAAUUGCCUGGUUCACGAGCCGUCGGUGCUGCUGCUGCCGUGCCGGCAUCUCUGCUUGUGCGCGGCGUGCGGUCCGGCCACCCAUUCCUGUCCCAUCUGCAAAUGCUGCAAAAAUGGCACUGUCAAUGUAAACAUGUCCUCAUGACUUCAACUACAAGAAUAAACGGAUAAGAUAAGAUGCUCAGAUAGAUCAUGGAAAAUUUAUAGUCCGUUCUUUCUCAGCUCGACCAAAAACAGAAGGAACCAAACCCAAUGGCAAGAAAAUAGCAACAAUGUGGGGACACCAACACGCGACACGUGUGAUGUCGCCCGGCACGUCGGACAGCGGGGCGCGGGCCCCACCCUCACGUACCCGCUAUGCACGGCGUGGACUCAACUCCUCCCCCCCGCCACGCAACCGGACAAAAAAAAAAAACCAGACGAAGCCAAAGCCUUUUGCUCCAUCUCUAAUCACGCGAGCAUCCGGAAAACAAUUGACGGUUGAUGAUAGGUUCUACAGGAUGUUUCUGGCGUAUAGGACUCGCAGGGUUCACCCGCAGACGGUGCGUGCAGGGGUCGGUUGGGGUGUCCUCGCGGAGAGAGUUAAGUUAAUCGGUGGCAGGACGAAGAGGACAAAACGGGGAGGGAGAAAUCCCGGCCGAGCCGGGGCGGAGGAGGACCAGGCGACAAAGUAGCAGGGGAUAACGCUGCGCCGGCGGACCCCACCGAGUCCCGCUCGUCGCGUAGCCCUCCCUUCCUCACCACGUGAACGGACCGUAUGACCUGGUGGGUCCAGGUGAGGAUAUCACGUCGUGGCACCUUCAAAUCCCGACACGUCGGCGGGGCCGGAGCCUCCCUGGUGGGCCCCAUCUCUUCCCCCCCUGUCGAGUUCUGAUCGAUCUUGAUGAUGGUGGUCCAGGGAGCGUAUGAACGGAGGUGAUGGUUUCAGCGGAGCUGUCAGCUUCGUGUCAUCACUCAUCAUGGUGGGGGAAUGGGGGAGGGCCCACAGAGGUUGCCGGUGGUCCCAAAGGCAGCAUUAAUUAUUUGGUCCCUUUUAGCCAUCUAACCCAACUCCACACCUAAACCUCCUUCUUAAUAUCUUUUCCUUUUUGGCGUUUUGGCAUGGUCCAUGGUGUCAUAAAACUGCAAGCUUUUAACACUUGGGACAAAAAUUCUUACGCAAGAUAUAAGUUGCAUGUAUUCUUCCUUUGAGUCUAUUCGAACAACAACAAAUCGUGCACUUCAAGCUCAACUUAUGGAAAGCCAGCAUACUUCUUUGUUUUAAUAAUUUUAUUUUGUCAUUGUUGCAUGUUGUUAUCUUAAGUCAGUCAAGGGAAUAAUAAAUCAUUUUAGGGAGUGUCAAUUGGCCAA